CCUGCCCUUACAGUGUCAAAGGCAACUGUUUCAACUGACACUUACCGGUUUGUGGUUUGAAUAUCCAAGUUUCCAUUUUUUAAGUACGUCUGACUGCUGUGCACAACUCCCACACAAAAUUUUAAAGUGAUUUCUACAGCUACAGGACAAGGCUAAGUGCAGCAACAGACAGCCCACUGUUAACAUAAAAAGCAAUACCUGAUUUUAUUGAGGAUAUCAAUUCCAGACUGCUCCAAGAGGACAUUUUUCACAAAAGUGCGCGGGAUGGAAAUCUUCUCAGUGCUAGCCUCAAUCA